GCUCCGGUGGCCUAAAUGCUAAGAGCGUCGGUCUCUCAGUGGUAGAAUUUGACUUCUGUAAAGUCGUGGGUUCGAACCCCACCCGCAUCA